rnacentral:rRNA from 1 species
UACGGAGGGGGCUAGCGUUGUUCGGAAUUACUGGGCGUAAAGCGUGCGCAGACGGUUGCGUAAGUCAGGCGUGAAAGCCCCGGGCUCAACCUGGGAAUUGCGCUUGAUACUGCGGCGCUGGAAGGUGGGAGAGGAUGGCGGAAUUCCCAGUGUAGAGGUGAAAUUCGUAGAUAUUGGGAAGAACACCGGUGGCGAAGGCGGCUCACUGGCCCGAUACUGACGCUGAGGUGCGAAAGCGUGGGGAGCAAACAGGG